AAUAUUUGACGCCGUUAACUUUUUUAAACAUGUUUGACCGUUCGUCUUAUUAAAAAAUUUAAGUAGUUAUUAAUUAUUUUCCUAUCAUUCGAUUCAUUGGUGAAUAUACUUUUAUGUAUAUAUAUAGUUUUACNAAUUAUAAAAAAUUUUCAAAUAAGACGGACGAUCAAAGUUAGGCACGGAAACUAAUGGUAGCACUUAAA
rfam:Oryza meridionalis cultivar OR44 (W2112) chromosome 11, whole genome shotgun sequence.